CCUAAACUAGCUCUUCUGGAGGGAGGAGAAAAUAAAUAAGAGAGAGAGAGAGAGGCAUUUGAAGUAACCUUUUUAAGGAGAAGGCAGCAACCAAUAGAACCUUUUCUUAUUUUUUUCCACUUCUUACUAGAGAAAUUCGUGUUAUCUCAGCAAUUAAGGAGAAGAGCCAGCAUCUAGGGUUCCAGGCUGUGAGGGGAAGUAGCAACUUGUACCAGAUCUGGAUGGAGUGUUUCUUCAUCUGCAUGAUGCUGUCUAGGACUACAGCUCUGUGACACUCCUCAGCUGUGCUAGCAGAAGAGGCAGAGAGGCUUCCAAGAAGCUCUGAAAAGGAGAAAAGUCUGGAGCUUCUAAUUAGAAAUCAAAAUGUUUUGAGCAUCAUGAAUUCACACUACCUCCUAGAGCUUAUGUGACUUGAGAGCUAAAGAACACAGCCCUGCAAGCUAUAGUACAUAUAACUGUGGAUUCAAGGUUCCAAUUAAAACCCUGUUUGGGCCAUUGCUUUGCCUUCCAGUUCUUAAUCUUUCCCGAAAGCCUCAUCACUUAUCUAAAACAAAAGAAGAAUGAGGGUCCCUCAAGAGAGAUGCCCACUGACUUCCUGAAGAUGUUCUGAAAGACUGUAAAUCAUCUUUAAGUGAAGAGAAGUUUCUGAAUCAAAUACAUUGAGGUA